rnacentral:rRNA from 1 species
UACGUAGGGUGCAAGCGUUCAUCGGAAUUACUGGGCGUAAAGCGUGCGCAGGCGGUUGUGCAAGACAGAUGUGAAAUCCCCGGGCUUAACCUGGGAACUGCAUUUGUGACUGUACGGCUAGAGUGUGUCAGAGGGGGGUAGAAUUCCACGUGUAGCAGUGAAAUGCGUAGAUAUGUGGAGGAAUACCGAUGGCGAAGGCAGCCCCCUGGGAUAACACUGACGCUCAUGCACGAAAGCGUGGGGAGCAAACAGG